rnacentral:rRNA from 1 species
UAACCGUAUAGGGGAGCCGGAGGGAAACCGAGUCUUAAUUGGGCGUUAAGUUGCAGGGUAUAGACCCGAAACCCGGUGAUCUAGCCAUGGGCAGGUUGAAGGUUGGGUAACACUAACUGGAGGACCGAACCGACUAAUGUUGAAAAAUUAGCGGAUGACCUGUGGCUGGGGGUGAAAGGCCAAUCAAACCGGGAGAUAGCUGGUUCUCCCCGAAAGCUAUUUAGGUAGCGCCUCGUGAAUUCAUCUCCGGGGGUAGAGCACUGUUUCGGCUAGGGGGCCAUCCCGGCUUACCAACCCGAUGCAAACUGCGAAUACCGGAGAAUGUUAUCACGGGAGACACACGGCGGGUGCUAACGUCCGUCGUGAAGAGGGAAACAACCCAGACCGCCAGCUAAGGUCCCAAAGUCAUGGUUAAGUGGGAAACGAUGUGGGAAGGCCCAGACAGCCAGGAUGUUGGCUUAGAAGCAGCCAUCAUUUAAAGAAAGCGUAAUAGCUCACUGGUCGAGUCGGCCUGCGCGGAAGAUGUAACGGGGCUAAACCAUGCACCGAAGCUGCGGCAGCGA